AGAGUUUGAUCCUGGCUCAGAACGAACGCUGGCGGCAGGCUUAACACAUGCAAGUCGAAGGUGAAGCGGGGCUUCGGCCCCGUGGAAACUGGCGCACGGGUGAGUAACGCGUGGGAAUCUACCCCGGGGUGGGGAAUAACCGCUGGAAACGGCGGCUAAUACCGCAUACGCCUUGCGAGGGAAAGCUUUAGCGCCCUGGGACGAGCCCGCGUCGGAUUAGCUUGUUGGUGAGGUAACGGCUCACCAAGGCUUCGAUCCGUAGCUGGUCUGAGAGGAUGAUCAGCCACACUGGGACUGAGACACGGCCCAGACUCCUACGGGAGGCAGCAGUGGGGAAUAUUGGACAAUGGGGGCAACCCUGAUCCAGCCAUGCCGCGUGCGUGAAGAAGGCCUUAGGGUUGUAAAGCGCUUUCGGCGGGGAAGAUGAUGACGGUACCCGCAGAAGAAGCUCCGGCUAACUCCGUGCCAGCAGCCGCGGUAAUACGGAGGGGGCUAGCGUUGUUCGGAAUUACUGGGCGUAAAGGGCGCGUAAGCGGAUUGUCAAGGUCAGAAGUGAAAGCCCUGGGCUCCACCCGGAGACUGCCUUUGAAACUAAACGUCUAUAGUCCCAGAAGAGAUGGCAGAAAUUCCCAGUGUAAAGGUGAAAUUC
rnacentral:rRNA from 1 species